UCAGCCGCCGCGGUAAUACCGGCAGCACGAGUGAUGACCGCUAUUAUUGGGCCUAAAGCGUCCGUAGCUGGCCACGCAAGUCCGUCGGGAAAUCCGCGCGCUUAACGCGCGGGCGUCCGGUGGAAACUGUGUGGCUUGGGACCGGAAGAUCCAGAGGGUACGUCCGGGGUAGGAGUGAAAUCCCGUAAUCCUGGACGGACCACCGGUGGCGAAAGCGCUCUGGAAAGACGGAUCCGACGGUGAGGGACGAAAGCUCGGGUCACGAACCGGAUUAGAUACCCGGGUAGUCCGAGCUGUAAACGAUGUCUGCUAGGUGUGACACAGGCUACGAGCCUGUGCUGUGCCGUAGGGAAGCCGUGAAGCAGACCGCCUGGAAGUA
rnacentral:rRNA from 1 species